AGCCUUUUGUAUUCGUGCUGAGAUUUCGUCACACCAGAUCACAAGGGCUGAUAAGACUCCCAAUAUAAGUGAGGAG
rfam:Schistosoma haematobium scaffold1188_8, whole genome shotgun sequence.